GUCCACGCCGUAAACGAUGGAUACUAGCUGUUGGGCGCAAGUUCAGUGGCUAAGCGAAAGUGAUAAGUAUCCCACCUGGGGAGUACGUUCGCAAGAAUGAAACUCAAAGGAAUUGACGGGGGCCCCGCACAAGCGGUGGAGCAUGUGGUUUAAUUCGAUGAUACGCGAGGAACCUUACCAAGGCUUAAAUGUAGUUUGACCGGUUUGGAAACAGAUCUUUCGCAAGACAAAUUACAAGGUGCUGCAUGGUUGUCGU
rnacentral:rRNA from 1 species